rnacentral:lncRNA from 1 species
AAACGUAGUGGUCCGGUCUAGGUACUGUAGUAUUCUACAAUAAGCUGUCGUGGUUUGUGUCUGAACUACCUGAAAAAUAUAUCUCAAACGUGGUGGUCUAGUGUAGGUAGUAUUCUACAAUAAGCUGUCGUGGUUUGUGUCUGAACUACCUGAAAAAGAUAUCUCAAACGUAGUGGUCCAGUGUAGGUAGUAUUCUACAAUAAGCUGCUGUGGUUUGUGUCUGAACUACCUGAAAAAGGUAUCUCAAACGUGGUGGUCCAGUGUAGGUAGUACUCUACAAUAAGCUGCCGUGGUUUGUGUCUGAACUACCUGAAAAAGAUAUCUCAAACGUGGUGGUCCAGUGUAGGUAGUACUCUA